rnacentral:miRNA from 1 species
UUGGCCAAAAAGUUUAUUCGGGUUUUUCCAUAAAAUGUUAUGGAAAAACCAGAACGAGCUUUUUCGCCAA